UUUUUAGCAUAAAUAUAUCUCAUGCAAUAUUUGGACAUAAUUAUACUAAAU
rnacentral:miRNA from 1 species